GACGAACGCUGGCGGCGUGCUUAACACAUGCAAGUGGAGCGACGAACCAGGGCUUGCCCUGGGGCAGAGCCGCGAACGGGUGAGUAACACGUGGGUUACCUGCCUCGAUGACUGGGACAACCCGAGGAAACUCGGGCUAAUACCGGAUGUGCCCGCAAGGGGAAAGGAAGCUUCGGCCUCCGCAUCGAGAUGGGCCCGCGGCCCAUUAGCUUGUUGGUGGGGUAACGGCCCACCAAGGCUCCGAUGGGUAGCUGGUCUGAGAGGACGAUCAGCCACACUGGGACUGGGACACGGCCCAGACUCCUGCGGGAGGCAGCAGGGGGGAAUCUGGCGCAAUGCGCGAAAGCGUGACGCAGCAACGCCGCGUGGGGGAGGAAGGCUUUCGGGUUGUAAACCCCUUUCAGUUGGGACGAAGCUCCGACGGUGAAUAGCCGAUCGGAGUGACGGUACCUUCACAAGAAGCACCGGCUAACUACGUGCCAGCCGCCGCAGUAACAC
rnacentral:rRNA from 1 species